CCUACGGGUGGCAGCAGUGAGGAAUAUUGGUCAAUGGGCUUACGCCUGAACCAGCCAAGUCGCGUGAGGGAAGACUGCCCUAUGGGUUGUAAACCUCUUUUGUCAGGGAGCAACGCCGGCUACGUGUAGCCGGACUGAGAGUACCUGAAGAAAAAGCAUCGGCUAACUCCGUGCCAGCAGCCGCGGUAAUACGGAGGAUGCGAGCGUUAUCCGGAUUUAUUGGGCGUAAAGGGUGCGUAGAUGGCAUAGUAAGUCUUUUGUAAAAAUGCUGGGCUCAACCCAGUAGGGCAAAAGAUACUGCAAAGCUAGAGUAUGACAGAGGCAAGUGGAACUACAUGUGUAGCGGUAAAAUGCGUAAAUAUAUGUAAGAACACCAGUGGCGAAGGCGGCUUGCUGGGUCGAUACUGACAUUGAGGCACGAAAGCGUGGGGAGCAAACAGGAUUAGAUACCCUAGUAGUC
rnacentral:rRNA from 1 species